AGGAGCGUCUCCACCAGCAGCAGGCCGGCCCCUGAGGGAGACAGCAGAGAGCUGGAGUCCUGGCCAGCCAGGCGGGGAUCCUUCAGCAGGACACAGGGGACACAGCAGGCAACAGGAGCUCAGAACGCUCUCGGCGACCCUGCUGAGUAACUUGUGGACUUUGUCGUCUGGCCAGUCAUGCAGGAUCCGGCACAGGACGUACAGCUCAGCGCUGGGGAGGGGGUCCCUGAAAAAGUCACCUGGUUUAAAGACAAAACGAGAUACGUCCGUCAGGUGUCCUUCUAAGAGACAGAAGAGGAGACAGACACAGAGGAGAAGGCCACGUGGAGACGGAGGCAGAGACUGGAGUGAUGCGGCCACAAGCCCAGGGACGCCUGGAGCCCCCAGGAGCUGGAAGAGGCGGGAAGGAUCCUCCCCUAGAGCCUCUCAGAAAGAAUCAAACACAACUGCAAUGGGUUGGGUGGUGACGUCCAAAAGAUCUGUCCAAGUCCUAAGCCCCAGAACCUGGGAAUGGGACCUCAUUUGGAUAAAGUUUCUUUGCAGAUGUAAUUAA
rnacentral:lncRNA from 10 species